UACAGAGGAGCCAAGCGUUGUCCGGAUUGACUGGGCGUAAAGCGCACGCAGGCGGAUGCGCGCGUGGGGUGUGAAAUCUGGCCGCUUAACGGCCAGGCGCCAUCCCAUACGGCGCGUCUGGAGUGAUGCAGAGGUCGGUGGAAUUGCCGGUGUAGUGGUGAAAUGCGUAGAUAUCGGGAGGAACACCGUGGGCGAAGGCGGGCGACUGGGCGAUACUGACGCUGAGCG
rnacentral:rRNA from 1 species